CAGUAGCCGCGGGAAUACGUAGGGUGCAAGCGUUAAUCGGAAUUACUGGGCGUAAAGCGCGCGUAGGUGGUUUGUUAAGUUGGAUGUGAAAGCCCCGGGCUCAACCUGGGAACUGCAUCCAAAACUGGCAAGCUAGAGUACGGUAGAGGGUGGUGGAAUUUCCUGUGUAGCGGUGAAAUGCGUAGAUAUAGGAAGGAACAUCAGUGGCGAAGGCGACCACCUGGACUGAUACUGACACUGAGGUGCGAAAGCGUGGGGAGCAAACAGGAUUAGAUACCCCGGUAGUCCCUGUCUCUUAUAU
rnacentral:rRNA from 1 species